rnacentral:rRNA from 1 species
CACCGCGGUUAUACGAGUAACCCUUAUUAAUACUUCCCCGGCGUAAAGAGUGGUUUAAGAAAAAUCCUUUAAAUAAUUAAAGUUAAGACCUCAUCAAGCUGUUAUACGCCCCUAUGAUUGGAACAAUCAACGACGAAAGUGACUUUAUAAUAUUAGAAAUCUUGAUGCCACGACAGUUGGGCCC